rnacentral:rRNA from 1 species
CCUACGGGUGGCAGCAGUGAGGAAUAUUGGUCAAUGGGAGGAAUCCUGAACCAGCCAUGCCGCGUGCAGGACGACGGCUCUACGAGUUGUAAACUGCUUUUGUACCGGAGUAAAUUGCUCUACGUGUAGGGUUUUGAAAGUACGGUACGAAUAAGGAUCGGCUAACUCCGUGCCAGCAGCCGCGGUAAUACGGAGGAUCCGAGCGUUAUCCGGAUUUAUUGGGUUUAAAGGGUGCGUAGGUGGUUUUAUAAGUUAGCGGUGAAAUACCGAUGCUCAACAUCGGAGCUGCCGCUGAUACUGUAGGACUAGAGUGCAGGUGCAGCAGGCGGAAUGUGUAGUGUAGCGGUGAAAUGCAUAGAUAUUACGAAGAACACCGAUUGCGAAGGCAGCUUGCUAGGCCGGAUCUGACGCUGAUGCACGAAAGCGUGGGGAUCGAACAGGAUUAGAUACCCCGGUAGUC